AACGAACGCUGGCGGCAUGCCUAACACAUGCAAGUCGAACGAUACCUUCGGGUCUAGUGGCGCACGGGUGCGUAACGCGUGGGAACCUGCCCUUAGGUUCGGAAUAACUCCCCGAAAGGGGUGCUAAUACCGGAUAAUGUCUUCGGACCAAAGAUUUAUCGCCUUUGGAUGGGCCCGCGUUGGAUUAGCUAGUUGGUAGGGUAAAAGCCUACCAAGGCUACGAUCCAUAGCUGGUCUGAGAGGAUGAUCAGCCACACUGGGACUGAGACACGGCCCAGACUCCUACGGGAGGCAGCAGUGGGGAAUAUUGGACAAUGGGCGAAAGCCUGAUCCAGCAAUGCCGCGUGAGUGAUGAAGGCCUUAGGGUUGUAAAGCUCUUUUACCCGGGAUGAUAAUGACAGUACCGGGAGAAUAAGCUCCGGCUAACUCCGUG
rnacentral:rRNA from 1 species